AUUGAACGCUGGCGGCAGGCUUAACACAUGCAAGUCGAGCGGGGGAAGGUCGCUUGCUACCGGACCUAGCGGCGGACGGGUGAGUAAUGCUUAGGAAUCUGCCUACUAGUGGGGGACACCAUCCCGAAAGGGAUGCUAAUACCGCAUACGUCCUACGGGAGAACGCAGGGAUCUUCGGACCUUGCGCUAAUAGAUGAGCCUACGUCGGAUUAGGUAGUUGGUGGGGUAAAGGCCUACCAAGGCGACGAUCUGUAGGGGGUCGGAGAGGAUGAUCCGCCACACUGGGGCUGAGACACGGCCCAGACUCCUACGGGAUGCAGCAGUGGGGAAUAUUGGAGAAUGGGGGGAACCCUGAUCCAGCCAUGGCGCGUGUGUGAAGAAGGCCUUAUGGUUGUAAAGCACUUUAAGCGAGGAGGAGGCUACUUUAGUUAAUACCUAGAGAUAGUGGACGUUACACGCAGAAUAAGCACCGGCUAACUCUGUGCCAGCCGCCGCAGUAA
rnacentral:rRNA from 1 species